UAUUAGCAGAUCAAAUAAAGCGAUAGAUGGCACAUAAAAAACAAUGAAAAUUUAGGAGGAAUAAAACAUUAAAAAAAAGGGAUACGAUCAGGCAAGAUGUAGGACCCAUGUAAAUAUUGGAGCAACUUUUCAGCGGUGGAGAAACUCAAGGAGCGGGAAGGCCUGGAAUCGGACACCGAGGUUGCUUUGUUUCUUAUUGAUAGCUCGACACAUGCAGGUGUCAGGAGCCAUCUCGCUGGCUUGUCAGAACUGCUCUGCACCAUGUCUGGAGUGAUUCAUCUUGUUGCCAGGAUCAUUAACUUCCUGUUGGAAGGACUGACAUAGAGAAAGUCAAAGCAGACUCGGGAAGAGCUGAUGUGCCACCAAGCCUUCCAUAUUAAUUAGACUGAAACUUUGUCUUAUUUGUGUCUCUCCCCUAUGAGUAUGUUUUAUUAUGCUGCAAAAACACAUAGAUAUGAGAGAUACGUAGACACAGAAAGAAAAAGGGAGGGCGAAAGACAGGGCAGAGGAUAUGUAGAAGAUAAAAAUGUCCUUUUUAUGCAAAUAUCAUGAAGUGUAUGUUGUGAUAAUGUGAUCACCGAGGUGCACAAAGUGAGCUUGUCUAAUCAAACAAACUUAUUGUGUUUUUAACUACGAGGAAAUCAUUUAGAUUAAACAGACACUUGCGUCCAUGGUUGUCCCAUUAUUAAACAGUCACUAGCGCCCUGAUUGUCCCAUUAGAGUAAUGAGUUGCUGUCACUGAUGACUAAUUGCAUCAUUUCAGUAAUGUUGCUUUUGUUUAUUUUAGUCCUGACAUGCGUUUACAGCUAUCAAUAUUGUUUUUUGUUCUUUCGUUCUUUUUUAACAAUCAUGCCCAUCUGAAACCUUCAGUUAAUUACCAAUAAAAUGCGAAAUCUAAUCAAAUUAACCUCCUUUCCAGUCCAUUACGCUUUCCAUUGAACAUAAUUAUAUAGUGAACAAAACAUCUUUUUGUAUGGUCCUAAGCAUCAUGGUUCUUUUCACAUAUUUUGUGAGCAGAAAGAAAAAGUGGGUAUUGAGUCUCCCUAUAUGUCCUAAGUACUGCUUUAUUUGAAGUUUACACCAAAGAUGCCGAGACUAAUGGUAGAAAAUGAGUGGUGGGUCACCUUGUGACCUUUCAUUAUACACCUAUAUUGUUGUUGCCUGGUAACAAGAUAAUGCUUAGCUGCCCCUCAGCCUGUGCAGACGGAAACAGUCCUAUUUUAAGAUAUGGUUUGAAGGGAAUCAUACUGGUCCUGGACUUGAAACCAUAGCGGACCUGCUUUGUUGUCCUGUGAUGUGUGGAGUGUGAGCAUUGCUCUGGCUUCAUGUGGUGUGUGCUUUCUCAUAUACUGCUGAAGGAACAAUAAAUCCCAUGAUAUUGGAGAAAAGGUUAUGCUUAUAUAAUUGAGAUGCACAAAACCUGUUAUGAGGGGAAUGCAGUGUUACGAUAGCAGUAGGUACACUGAUGUUAGUCUGAAGCCAAAAAAAAAGAAAAAAGCUUGUUUCUGGAAAAAAUACAUUGCUGAAAAUUUUGUUCUAUCACAGUACACAUAGUAAGUGUAUAAUAUGUAAAUAUCUUAUGCCAAAAAUUCUCAAGAAAUUAACCAAGACAAUUUUAUUGGAGUUAGGGUUUCCAUUAAAAAAUAUUGUCUACACAUUUUAUUCUUUCUUUCUUUCCUUCUUUCUUUCUUUCUUUCUUAAUAUGUACCACUGAAAAAAUGUUUACCUAAAAAAAGUUUGUAAAUUAAAUGAAAUCAAAAUUGUUACUUUUAUUUUUACUUGAAUAAAACCAGUUCUUUAGAUGUUACCACA
ensembl:lncRNA